GGGUUGUGGUUCAGAGGUAGAGUACCCACCUAGUAUGCAUGAGGCACUGGGUUCAAGCCUCAGCACCCA
rnacentral:tRNA from 1 species